CCUACGGGCGGCAGCAGUGGGGGAUAUUGCACAAUGGGGGAAACCCUGAUGCAGCGACGCCGCGUGGGCGAAGAAGUAUUUCGGUAUGUAAAGCCCUAUCAGCAGGGAAGAAGAAGUGACGGUACCAGAGUAAGAAGCACUGGCAAACUACGUGCCAGCAGGCGCGGUAAUACGUAUGGUGCAAGCGUUAUCCGGAUUUACUGGGUGUAAAGGGAGCGCAGGCGGGACUGCAAGCCUGAUGUGAAAGCCCGCGGCCCAACCGGGGAACUGCAUUGGGAACUGCGGGGCUGGAGUGCCGGAGAGGUAGGCGGAAUUCCUGGUGUAGCGGUGAAAUGCGUAGAGAUUAGGAGGAACACCAGUGGCGAAGGCGACCGACUGGACGGUGACUGACGCUGAGGCUCGAAAGCGUGGGGAGCAAACAGGAUUAGAUACCCCGGUAGUC
rnacentral:rRNA from 1 species